CCCUUAGAUGUUCUGGGCUGCACGCGCGCUACACUGAUGCACUCAACGAGUUUACGACCUUGCCCGAUAGGGUUGGGUAAUCUUUUUAAAAUGCAUCGUGAUGGGGAUAGAUUAUUGCAAUUAUUAAUCUUCAACGAGGAAUUCCUAGUAAGCGCGAGUCAUCAGCUCGUGCUGAUUACGUCCCUGCCCUUUGUACACACCGCCCGUCGCUACUACCGAUUGAACGUUUUAGUGAGGCAUUUGGACCGACGCAUCUCAGUUUAACCGCUGGUUUGUGUUGGAAAGACUUCCAAACUUGAGCGUUUAGAGGAAGUAAAAGUCGUAACA
rnacentral:rRNA from 1 species